AAGACUAACCAGGAUUUAGCAUGCUCCUGCAGGAAGCCUAUGAAAUGAUCCCCCCAAAAUCUUAGGGUGCUGUUUCCCCUGUUUCCUGAUAUUUUUCUUCUUGUUCCUUAUGACGUGCUGAUUCCAAGAAUUCAUGCAAUCACACUUCACUAUCUUCCAUUGGCUUGAGAGUCAGCUUCAGGUAAGGCCAAAGCUUCUUUAGAGACAGAAGAGAAUAUGGGGUCCAAUUCCAGUGAGGCUGGCACAGUUCCAAUUCCAUUUCAGUUCAACAAGACUGAACUGGAGCCCUGUGAUAGAAAGAAAUUGUUUUAUUUACCUAACACUCUUGUUGGCUUCUAGCAAAUUCACCUCCUACCAUUUUUGGGGUAAUUCCUCCUCCCUGACUUCAGCAGUGCAGUUCUAGUCAUGACUGCAAUCAUCACACUUCAAUCUGAUCACUUCAGAAGUAGGGAUGUGACUCAAACCAUGCCAAGGAGUUUUCUCCCCCACCCCAGGGAGACUUUUGAAGACUGGAGGUCUUUGGCAGUGGUGAUGGUUGGGCACCACCAUCUCAGUUGACCAAACUGGAAAAUACACUAAAGAGCCUCAGCAGCCAUGGUUCCUCUGUGUGGAAUGAGUCCAUAAGCCUUUGGUGCAAGAAAAGAAGAGCUUAUAAGUACAGAGGAGGAAAAAAAAAGAAAAAGAAAGCUGAAAGUUCUUGUUAGCUACAACCUUGGCCUUUCCUAAUCACGUAAACCGCUAAAUGAUGGCUAAAGUAGUUUGAAUUUAGUUUCUAUUACUUACAAUUAAAACUGCCCUGAUGAUGACAACUCUCCCUUAACAUGUACUUGGUCCUAUGGCCGGUGUUGAGGAAACAAAGAUGCAUAUGAUUCUGUAUCUGUUCUCAAGGAACUGAGAACCUUUUAUGUAUGGUUUUUGAUAACCUUCUGCUUGUUUUUCUUCACAAAAUCCAUGGUGCUGGUUUGAUUUGUUCAGCUUUGCAAAUUAAUAACCUCUUUAUGGAUGAUGUUACAUUAGCUUUUUCGGUUAAGGAAAUGGCCACUAGAUCUCUCUGUUGUAAAGGUAGCUUUUCCCUUUCAGAAUUAGUGAA
rnacentral:lncRNA from 1 species